UACGUAGGGUGCGAGCGUUUGUCCGGAAUUAUUGGGCGUAAAGAGCUCGUAGGCGGUGUGUCGCGUCGGCCGUGAAAACCUGGGGCUCAACUCUGGGCGUGCGGUCGAUACGGGCAUCACUUGAGUUCGGCAGGGGAGACUGGAAUUCCUGGUGUAGCGGUGAAAUGCGCAGAUAUCAGGAGGAACACCGGUGGCGAAGGCGGGGUCUCUGGGCAGUAAACUGACG
rnacentral:rRNA from 1 species